rnacentral:rRNA from 1 species
UACGUAGGGGGCGAGCGUUAUCCGGAAUUACUGGGCGUAAAGCGCACGCAGGCGGUUCUCCAAGUUUGGGGUGACAGUUGUCGGCUCAACCGACAAAGGACUUCAAAAACUGGUGAACUUGAGGACGAGAGAGGAACAUGGAACUCCAGGUGUAGUAGUGAAAUGCGUAGAUAUCUGGAAGAACACCAAUGGCGAAGGCAAUGUUCUGGCUCGUUUCUGACGCUCAGGUGCGAAAGCCAGGGGAGCGAACGGG